CCUACGGGUGGCUGCAGUGAGGAAUAUUGGUCAAUGGACGAGAGUCUGAACCAGCCAAGUAGCGUGAAGGAUGACUGCCCUAUGGGUUGUAAACUUCUUUUAUAUGGGAAUAAAAUGUUCCACGUGUGGGAUUUUGUAUGUACCAUAUGAAUAAGGAUCGGCUAACUCCGUGCCAGCAGCCGCGGUAAUACGGAGGAUCCGAGCGUUAUCCGGAUUUAUUGGGUUUAAAGGGAGCGUAGGUGGAUUGUUAAGUCAGUUGUGAAAGUUUGCGGCUCAACCGUAAAAUUGCAGUUGAAACUGGCAGUCUUGAGUGCAGUAGAGGUGGGCGGAAUUCGUGGUGUAGCGGUGAAAUGCUUAGAUAUCACGAAGAACUCCGAUUGCGAAGGCAGUUCACUGGACUGCAACUGACGCUGAGGCUCGAAAGUGUGGGUAUCAAACAGGAUUAGAUACCCUUGUAGUC
rnacentral:rRNA from 1 species